GUUAAUGUUUGGGUAAGAACUUCAUUGAAUUGUUUUAUUUGUAAGGAAUAACUAAUGCACUAAAACAAAAUAUUUUUUUUUAGCUUUCUAUGUAUAGGGAUGCUAUAAGAUCAUUCAGAACUAGAUUUGUAUUGAAGUCACGAACUAAGAUGGAUCCAGCUGAAUGGUGGGAGAUACAUGAUAGUGAUGCACCUUACCUAAGGAGGAUAGCAAUCAAGGUGCUCUCCCAUACAUGUUCUGCUAUUGGGUGUAAGCGAAACUGGAGUACAUUCCAUUGGUUGCACACCGUUAAGAGGAAUCAACUCGCUUCGGAGAUGCUUCAUAAGCUAGUCGACGUUCAUUACAACUUGAACCUCGAGAGCGACAAAUAAGAAGGAAGCUUGAAGACUACAGCCCAGAUAGACUUAGAUGCAAUAUUUGUUCCAGACACAACAAAACAAUGGGUAGUGGAAGGAGUCAGUGUUGCGCAAAAGAGCAUUCCUUGAGACUAUCAGUGUGGUAAAUGAUGAAGAUUGUGUGAUGAGCAGCAUAAAAGAGGAAGCAGCCCGCCAACAUAUCCACAAUUCGUCAAAGAUGUCGGUGGUGUUGCACUUAAUGAGGGAGAGUGGGAAGGGGGUAGAAGGAAAAAUAAGAGAGAUGAUGAUUUUGAUACCACCCUAUCCCGACAAAAUUAUUCACAUGUCGAGUUCUCAACAACAAGAGGGUAGAGGUGAGCAUGACAGUGUAGGUGAGCGUGAAGGAUGGACAAGCUUCGGGGAUUUUGAAUUAGGAGCGCAACAAAAUACUAACACUCAGGGAUCUGGGUAAAGAGUUAGGUGGCCACCAAUUUGGAUGAUUCGUUCCUAGAUCAAGUCAAUGAAUUGUGAUGUGAAUUCAAUGAAUGACACCAGCGUGACCAAGAUGAAUAAUAACAUUGUCUUUCAUUUUGCUUUAAAGUCGUAUUUUAUGAAUUGUAUGCUUUAUUGUAGUCUAUGUAUGAUUACGUACUUCAUCCA